AUUGAACGCUGGCGGCAGGCUUAACACAUGCAAGUCGAGCGGAGAGAGGUAGCUUGCUACUGAUCUUAGCGGCGGACGGGUGAGUAAUGCUUAGGAAUCUGCCUAUUAGUGGGGGACAACAUUUCGAAAGGAAUGCUAAUACCGCAUACGUCCUACGGGAGGAAGCAGGGGAUCUUCGGACCUUGCGCUAAUAGAUGAGCCUAAGUCGGAUUAGCUAGUUGGUGGGGUAAAGGCCUACCAAGGCGACGAUCUGUAGCGGGUCUGAGAGGAUGAUCCGCCACACUUGGACUGAGACACGGGCCAGACUCCUACGGGAGGCAGCAGUGGGGAAUAUUGGACAAUGGGCGCAAGCCUGAUCCAGCCAUGCCGCGUGUGUGAAGAAGGCCUUAUGGUUGUAAAGCACUUUAAGCGAGGAGGAGGCUACUUUAGUUAAUACCUAGAGAUAGUGGACGUUACUCGCAGAAUAAGCACCGGCUAACUCUGUGCCAGCCGCCGCCGUAAGAC
rnacentral:rRNA from 1 species